AGGGAGGAAUGAAUCAGUAUCUAGCCAGGCAUGAUGGCAUAUCUUUAUAAUCUCAGUACUUAGAAGGUGCAGGCAAGAGGACCAUGAGUUCAACUCCAGCCUGGGCUACACAGUAAAUACAAGGCCAAAAACCCUGCUUAGGGAUAUAACUGAGCAGGAAAGCAUUUCCCUAGUCUGUAAUAGGCCCUGGUAUGAUUUCUAGAAUCACAAAAUAUAACAAAGAAAUGGUAUUGUUUUUCUUUAAUAGUUGUACUAAGGGGUUUUGAUUCAACAAGUCACAGAAUGAUCAAUAUAUCUUUGAUGUGUUUG